ACUACGGGGUGCAGCAGUGGGGAAUUUUGCGCACUGGGGGAAACCCUGACGCAGCACCGCCGCGUGCGGGACGAAGGCCCUCGGGUCGUAAACCGCUUUCAGCAGGGAAGCCCUUACGACGGUACCUGCAGAAGAAGCUCCGGCUAACUACGUGCCAGCAGCCGCGGUACUACGUACGGGGCGAGCGUUAUCCGGAUUCGUUGGGCGUAAAGCGCGCGUAGGCGGACGCCUCAGCGGAACCUCUAACCCCGGGGAUCAACCUCGGGCCGGGUUCCGGGCUGGGCGGCUCGAGUGCGGUAGAGGAGAGCGGAAUUCCCGGUGGAGCGGUGGAAUGCGCAGAUAUCGGGAAGAACACCGAUGGCGAAGGCAGCUCUCUGGGCCGUCACUGACGCUGAGGCGCGAAAGCUGGGGGAGCGAACAGGAUUAGAUACCCUUGUAGUC
rnacentral:rRNA from 1 species